AGAGCCAUGGCUCAGUGGCAGAACACCUGCUUUGACUGCAGAAGGUCCCAGGUUCAAUCCCUGGUGUCUCCA